rfam:Oryza glaberrima chromosome 12 Oglab12_0058_2, whole genome shotgun sequence.
AAUAAAUACAGUUUUACAAUAUUUAUGUCUAACGUUUGACCGUUCGUUUUAUUUAAAAAAUUUUCAUGAUUAGUAAUUUUAUUAUUAUUUAAUGAUAAAACAUGAAUAAUACUUUAUGCGUGACUAUUUUUUUCACAAAUUUUUAAAAUAAAACGGAUGGUCAAACGUUAGAUACGGAUAUCCAUAGCUGCGCUUAUU